GAAGCAAGAUGUGUAAGUAUUUUUCUGCAGAGAAGGGAUUCGCCCGAAAGUCACGCGACCAAAAACAAAAAGUGAUCCCGUAACCAUGCAUUCGAAGUAUCAGAAAGAGUGGGACAGCUUCAAAGACAAUAUUCCUGGACAAAAUAAGCACCUGGACCUGCGAUGGUCAAUCCGGGAGAAGUUGACCAAGGAGAGAGACCCGCGGAGUUAAAACGAUUACAUUUGUCUCUGGAAAACUACUUUAUUAAAUUCUGUUGCCCUUUUAAAAUGUUUUUCACUGACUAACGCGGAAUUUCUUCACGAGUUCCCUGCUGUCCGAUCGAUUGAACUGGUAGAGAAUUCUUUCUUCGAGUUUCCGGACAGCGUCCUUCGUGAGAACCAGGGUGUGAUAUUUCAACA